AGGAGCCAGAUGACACCAAUGACCACUUUGGUGGCGGUGGCUGAGAGCCGGGGCUGCAGCGGGUGGAUGAUGGCCAUGUACCUGCAAGAACUCAGUGGGACUCAAGACUGCUCCAUUUGCCAGCAGUUUUAUAUAUCUACUGCACUGAAGGACACAACUUCAGGCCAGAUGCUUUCCUUUUGGUGACGUAGGUAAUGCCAUUUGCUGUUGUUUUAAAUAUUUUAUUGUGUUUCGGACUGGGGGGGGGGGUUGUUACCAUGGUGAAACAAUAGCAACUGAGUACAGCGUUGUAGCAGGGUAGCUCUGAGUGUAGCAAGAUGGCUACACUGCCUCAAAUGCACUAUUAAUUGCAUCUGGAAAGCUGGAGUCUGCCUAUACAGAAUGAACAUGACACAUUUCUUUUUUUGCCAAAUGCAAACAGAAGAGGACCAAAGCCCAGAACUGGCAGUAGGCUGGGGAGGAGGCAGAGGUCCCUCCCAGUGUUCAUUGCAUUGCUGAUAGCGAUGGGAUGGGAGAGGAGGAUCCAAAGCACAGCACAGCCCUCUUGGGGGGCUCUGUGACCUCACCAAAUGCUUAAGGAAAGCAGAUAGCCCUAUGGCACCAUUUAGAGCUGGGGAAUGAAUGGGGGAAACGCAGGGCUGAUAAAUUUGAGAUCUGCUGCACUCAGUGCAUGUGCUAAUCAGGCUGAGCCAUCGAAGCGAAGCGAAGAACAAACUAAGAGCUAAAUUAGGAAAGCCAUCAAAUAAGCAGAAUAUCUCCCCUCCAGCAGCUUGUGCCAAUGCUCUGCUUGUAGCCGAGCACCUCAGAGGCACGUCUAACACGUGAGCUCUUGCACUGCCCAGCCACCCACCAGCCUGUUGCUAUUUCAUCUUCAUCACAUAUUUAUCACAGCAGAAGAGGAAGAAAAAAAGGAUGCCAGUUCGCUUUUGACCUGCUGAAUUCAGCUUGUCCCCCCAAGCUCCCAUCCCUCCCAUUUGCUCUUCUUCCAAAUCCCAUCCCAGCAGGGCACGGUUACACAUUGUCAGGCGCGAAUCAAAGUUCUGCCCUGCAAGCCCCAGAAGACCAUUAAGUCAAGAUUAAAAGAACUUGUGCUAUAUUAGGGCGUAAAUGACUAAUUAAUAUGUCUGCGCACUGAUGUAAUUUGUCCUCUCCAGAGGGUUUCUAUCUGCAGUAAUUGCCUCUUGGGGAAGGCACGGGGUCAUUGAGCUGGUGAAUGUAUUCCUGGUAUUCAGCUGGUUCAUCUAAACUGGCAGUUCAAGCUUGCAAGGGUAAAUAAUUUUCCAAGCCAGCUUUUCUGUUGCAUAUAGUAUGGGGUUGUGGAGAUAUGAACUGGUCUCAGCUGCAGGCUGGUGGCUUUAGGAGCUGUGGAGGUGAAGGAAGCUUUGCAGGUUUGGUGCUUCUGCAGCUCCUGCUGGCACAUGCAUGGAUUUCGAGACACUUAAUGGAGUGUGAUUUAA